rnacentral:lncRNA from 1 species
AUGUCUAUUUUUGUUUUUUUAUUUGUUUGUUUUUUUGUGUUUUUUUUUGACUUUCAUUUCUUCUCUUACUUAGCACCCAAACCGCAGGUAUCAAGAGGAUUUCUGUUUUAUUUAUUUUUAAUUUUUUUUUUUUUCAUUUCUUUAUUUUUUCCUCACUUUUUCUUUGCAAAGAAAAAGCCUUUUUCUUCUUGGGUUUUUAUGUUCACACUUAAUCAGUUCUUCAACUUUGAAGCUUUGAAUAAAGCCCUUCCAUGUAUUUACUGUGACAGAAGAGAAUGUCACUUUGAUACUAAGUCCUAUUGGCCAGUUUGUUGGUGGGUGUUUGCAUUUUCCUUGGGCACAGCUGUCCUUAAAAUAAUAUGCUGGGGAAGAGAAGAAACAUGACUCUCCAACCUAUAUACUACACUUUUAUUUUAAAAACAAAAACAAAACCAGAACACAGGCCAAAAGUUCUCUCACUUCUGCUUUAGCUUUAAAACAUGGCAGCACUAGUUGCGAGUCACAUUUUGAGUUAUGGAUGCACUUUUUAAAUAUACUUUUGCUUCAUUGUAUAUGGAUCUUCAUACAUAUUCAAUAUAUAUGAGUGUAUAUUUGAAGAUGCUGAGUUUGACUAACAUCCUGAUGAGGUGGUUCCUAGCUCCAAGAAGCAGCAGUAGUAGCCUGCAUCUGCUGCAAAUCCCUUCAGUGACCACCACAGAAUCUGGACUACCAGAGCCACUUUCUUCAGCUGUAAUAACCUAGAUGAACUAUAUAAUUAUAAUAUAGGAAGUGUAAUCAAUCACCCAUUGAGAAUAGUUAGAUAGUGUCUUGUUGCCAAGUAGAUUAGGCUGUGGGAAUUCAAACAGUGUAAUUAAUUAAAUGAAGUUGGCUAGGGGUGAGACAGCACUGCAGAGGCUAUUCAUUUUCCUAGCUUUACAUCACAGUGUUCAAUAGUAAAGCUUUUGUACGGUCUUUAACUUUGAACAACUUUCCAAAAUAGGAAUACUUGGAGAGUCUCUAUUUUGUUCCAUCAGAAAAAAUCACACAUUGGACUCAUGCUUUCAGUUUCAUUGUGA